AUUGAACGCUAGCGGCAGGCUUUACACAUGCAAGUCGAUCGAGUGGCGGACGGGUGAGUAAUAUAUCGGACCGUGCCCAGUAGCGGGGGAUAACUACUCGAAAGAGUGGCUAAUACCGCAUACCAUCGGAGCGGCCGAUAUCGGAUUAGCUAGUUGGUGGGGUAACGUCUCACCAAGGCAAAGUUCCGUCGCUGGUUAGAGAGGACGACCAGCCAGACUGGGACUGAGACACGGCCCAGGCGCCUGCGGGAGGCAGCAGUGGGGAAUUUUGGGCAAUGGGAGAAACCCUGGUCCAGCCAUCCCGCGUGUAUGAGAAGGCCUUCGGGUUGUAAAGUACUUUUAGCAGAGAGGCGGUAUCUGCUGAAUAAGCACCGGCUAACUACGUGCCAGCAGCCGCGGUAAUAC
rnacentral:rRNA from 1 species